rnacentral:rRNA from 1 species
UACGGAGGGGGCGAGCGUUAUUCGGAAUUAUUGGGCGUAAAGGGCGCGUAGGCGGCCCGGUAAGUCAAAGGUGAAAUCCCUCGGCUCAACUGAGGAACUGCCUUUGAAACUGUCGGGCUUGAGGCCGGGAGGGGGUAGCGGAAUUCCCGGUGUAGCGGUGAAAUGCGUAGAUAUCGAGAGGAACACCUGCGGCGAAGGCGGGUAGCUGGGCCGACACUGACGCUGAGGCGCGAAAGCCAGGGGAGCGAACGGG